rnacentral:misc_RNA from 1 species
AUGAAGAACGCAGCGAAAUGCGAUAAGUAGUGUGAAUUGCAGAAUUCAGUGAAUCAUCGAAUCUUUGAACGCACAUUGCGCCCCCUGGUAUUCCGGGGGGCAUGCCUGUUCGAGCGUCAUUACAACCCUCAAGCUCUGCUUGGUAUUGGGCCCCGCCAGUUCUGGCGGGCCCUAAAGUCAGUGGCGGUGCCUUCCGGCUCCGAGCGUAGUAAUUCUUCUCGCUCUGGAGACCCGGUUGUGUGCUUGCCAACAACCCCCAAUUUUUUAAGGUUGACCUCGGAUCAGGUAGGGAUACCCGCUGAACUUAAGCAUAUCAAUAAGCGGAGGA